rnacentral:rRNA from 1 species
GACGAACGCUGGCGGCGUGCUUAACACAUGCAAGUCGAACGAAGAGCGAUGGAAGCUUGCUUCUAUCAAUCUUAGUGGCGAACGGGUGAGUAACGCGUAAUCAACCUGCCCUUCAGAGGGGGACAACAGUUGGAAACGACUGCUAAUACCGCAUACGAUCCAAUCUCGGCAUCGGGACUGGAUGAAAGGUGGCCUCUAUUUAUAAGCUAUCACUGAAGGAGGGGAUUGCGUCUGAUUAGCUAGUUGGAGGGGUAACGGCCCACCAAGGCGAUGAUCAGUAGCCGGUCUGAGAGGAUGAACGGCCACAGUGGGACUGAGACACGGCCCAGACUCCUACGGGAGGCAGCAGUGGGGAAUCUUCCGCAAUGGACGAAAGUCUGACGGAGCAACGCCGCGUGAGUGAUGACGGCCGUCGGGUUGUAAAGCUCUGUUAAUCGGGACGAAUGGUUCUUGUGCGAAUAGUGCGAGGAUUUGACGGUACCGGAAGAGAAAGCCACGGCUAACUACGUG